GACGAACGCUGGCGGCGUGCUUAACACAUGCAAGUCGAACGGAAAGGCCCUGCUUGCAGGGUACUCGAGUGGCGAACGGGUGAGUAACACGUGGGUGAUCUGCCCUGCACUUCGGGAUAAGCCUGGGAAACUGGGUCUAAUACCGGAUAGGAGCCAUUUUUAGUGGGAUGGUUGGAAAGUUUUUUCGGUGUAGGAUGAGCUCGCGGCCUAUCAGCUUGUUGGUGGGGUAAUGGCCUACCAAGGCGGCGACGGGUAGCCGGCCUGAGAGGGUGGACGGCCACAUUGGGACUGAGAUACGGCCCAGACUCCUACGGGAGGCAGCAGUGGGGAAGAUUGCACAAUGGGCGCAAGCCUGAUGCAGCGACGCCGCGUGGGGGAUGACGGCCUUCGGGUUGUAAACUCCUUUCGCUAGGGACGAAGCUUUUUGUGACGGUACCUAGAUAAGAAGCACCGGCUAACUACGUG
rnacentral:rRNA from 1 species